AAUCCGUCGACUUCAGAAAUCGUGAGGGUUCAAGUCCCUCUAUCCCCAA
rnacentral:tRNA from 1 species